AGGAGUGUAGCUCAAUUCAGGUAGAGCACUGGUCUCCAAAACCAGGGGUUGCAGGUUCAAGUCCUGUCUCUCCUG